ACGGAUUCCGGCGACUACGAGGUGAAGCUGCGUAACCUGAAGCGUUUCCUCGAAACCGGCGAUAAAGCCAAGGUCACCGUGCGUUUCCGGGGUCGGGAAAUGGCGCACCAGGAGCUCGGUCGCGAGCUGCUGGCACGGAUUGAAGAGGAUUUGGCGGAAUACGGUUCCGUCGAGCAACGCCCGAACAUGGAAGGGCGCCAGAUGAUCAUGGUGCUCGGCCCGGGCAAAAAGAAGAAGUGAUCCGGAUUCGGGUUGCUUAAGGUAAUCAAGUACUCAGCAACGAGAAGGUAACCAUGCCUAAAAUCAAGACAAACCGCGGGGCUGCAAAGCGUUUCA
rnacentral:misc_RNA from 1 species